GUCCACGCCGUAAACGAUGGAUACUAGCUGUUGGGGCAACCUCAGUGGCUAAGCGAAAGUGAUAAGUAUCCCACCUGGGGAGUACGUUCGCAAGAAUGAAACUCAAAGGAAUUGACGGGGCCCGCACAAGCGGUGGAGCAUGUGGUUUAAUUCGAUGAUACGCGAGGAACCUUACCAAGGCUUAAAUGUAGAUUGACCGGUUUGGAAACAGACUUUUCGCAAGACAAUUUACAAGGUGCUGCAUGGUUGUCGU
rnacentral:rRNA from 1 species